rnacentral:rRNA from 1 species
CCUACGGGGGGCAGCAGUGGGGAAUAUUGGACAAUGGGGGGAACCCUGAUCCAGCGACGCCGCGUGAGUGAAGAAGUCUUUCGGUAUGUAAAGCUCUAUCUGCAGGGAAGAAAGACAUGACGGUACCUGACUAAGAAGCCUCGGCUAACUACGUGCCAGCAGCCGCGGCAAUCCGUCGGGGGCAAGCGUUAUCCGGAUUUACUGGGUGUAAAGGUAGCGUAGACGGCGAGGCAAGUCUGAAGUGAAAGGCGGGGGCCCAACCUCCGGACUGCUUUGGAAACUGUAUGGCUUGAGUGCAGGAGAGGUAAGCGGAAUUCCUGGUGUAGCGGUGAAAUGCGUAGAUAUCAGGAGGAACACCGAUGGCGAAGGCAGCUUACUGGACUGUAACUGACGUUGAGGCUCGAAAGCGUGGGGAGCAAACAGGAUUAGAUACCCGAGUAGUC